AUGGGCGGCUACACGACGGAGGGCGGCGGCGCCCGUGCCGCCCGCGCCGGACGGUACCCUCCCCUCGCCUCCCUCGUCGUCUCCACCAUCGCCGCCUUCUCCGCCGUCAUCGUCAUCGCCGUCCUCCACUCGGCGUACGACGACGCGCUGUCCCGGACGCGGACGCUGCUGGGGCACAACCUGGAGCCGACGCCGUGGCACCCGUUCCCGCACGACAAGGGCCGCCCGCCGCCGCGCGCCGCGCUCCGGUGCGCCUCCUACCUCUCCUGCCUCCCGCCGCUCUCGCAGCCGAAGCCAGCGGCGGCGGCGGCCAACGCGUCGCGGCCGCGGCAGUGCCCGUCCUACUUCGCCGCCAUCCGCCGCGACCUGGCGCCCUGGCGGCGGCGCGACGGCGGCGGCGGCGGCAUCACGCGCGCGCUCCUCGAGUCGGGCCGCUACCGCGCGUCCAUGCGCGUCACCAUCACGGGCGGCGGGACGCGGCUGCACGUGGACCUCUACUACGCCUGCGUCCAGAGCCGCGCGCUCUUCACCGUGUGGAGCCUGCUGCAGCUCAUGCGGCGGUACCCCGGCCGCGUCCCGGACGUGGACCUCAUGUUCGACUGCAUGGACCGGCCCGCCAUCAACCGCACGGAGCACACCGGCGAGGGCGCGCCGCCGCCGCCUCCCCUGUUCCGCUACUGCACCACCCGCGACCACUUCGACAUCCCGUUCCCGGACUGGUCCUUCUGGGGCUGGCCGGAGACGCACAUCGAGCCGUGGACCCGGGAGUUCAGGAGCAUCAAGCAGGGCUCCAGGCGGGUGAAGUGGCCGGACAGGGUGCCCACGGCGUACUGGAAGGGCAACCCGGACGUGGCGUCGCCACUACGACUCGCUCUGCUCGCCUGCAACGACACCAACCUGUGGCGAGCCGAGAUCAUGCGCCAAAACUGGGAGGAGGAGGCCAAAUCCGGGUACCAGAACUCCAAGCUCUCCAGCCAGUGCACGCACCGGUACAAGAUCUACGCGGAGGGGUUCGCGUGGUCGGUGAGCCUCAAGUACAUCCUGUCGUGCGGGUCCAUGGCGCUGCUGAUCGACCCGCUGUACCAGGACUUCUUCAGCCGGGGGCUGGAGCCGCGGGUGAACCACUGGCCGGUGAGCACGGUGGGGAUGUGCGAGUCCAUCCGGGACGCCGUGGAGUGGGGCAACGCGCACCCGGAGGAGGCGGAGCGCGUCGGGAAGCGCGGCCAGCGGCUCAUGCAGGAGCUGGGCAUGGACACCGUCUACGACUACAUGCUGCACCUGCUCACCGAGUACGCCGCGCUGCUCGACUUCCGGCCGGCGCCGCCGCACACGGCACAGGAGGCCUGCGCCGGCUCCGUGCUCUGCCUCGCCGACGACCGCCAGAGGAGGUUCUUGGAGUCCUCCGCCGCGUACCCCGCCACCGCCGGACCGUGCUCCAUGCCGCCGUCCGACGGCUGA
rnacentral:rRNA from 1 species